AUUGAACGCUGGCGGCAGGCCUAACACAUGCAAGUCGAGCGGCAGCGGGAAAGUAGCUUGCUACUUUUGCCGGCGAGCGGCGGACGGGUGAGUAAUACCUGGGAAAUUGCCCAGUCGAGGGGGAUAACAGUUGGAAACGACUGCUAAUACCGCAUACGCCCUACGGGGGAAAGCAGGGGACCUUCGGGCCUUGCGCGGUUGGAUAUGCCCAGGUGGGAUUAGCUAGUUGGUGAGGUAAUGGCUGACCAAGGCGACGAUCCCUAGCUGGUCUGAGAGGAUGAUCAGCCACACUGGAACUGAGACACGGUCCAGACUCCUACGGGAGGCAGCAGUGGGGAAUAUUUCACCAUGGGGGAGACCCUGGUGCAGCCAUGCCGCGUGUGUGAAGAAGGCCUUCGGGUUGUAAAGCACUUUCAGCGAGGAGGAAAGGUUGAUGCCUAAUACGUAUCAACUGUGACGUUACUCGCAGAAGAAGCACCGGCUAACUCCGUGCCAGCAGCCGCGGUAACAC
rnacentral:rRNA from 1 species